GCUGGGUGCGGUGGCUCACACCUGUAAUCCCAGCAUUUUGGGAGGCUGAGGUGGGAGGAUUGCUUGAGCCCAGGAAUUCAUGACCAGCCUGGGCAACAUAGCAAAACUCCAUCUCUA
rnacentral:SRP_RNA from 1 species